rnacentral:rRNA from 1 species
GCUGGCGGCGUGCCUAAUACAUGCAAGUCGAGCGAACAGAUAAGGAGCUUGCUCCUUUGACGUUAGCGGCGGACGGGUGAGUAACACGUGGGUAACCUACCUAUAAGACUGGAAUAACUCCGGGAAACCGGGGCUAAUGCCGGAUAACAUAUAGAACCGCAUGGUUCUAUAGUGAAAGAUGGUUUUGCUAUCACUUAUAGAUGGACCCGCGCCGUAUUAGCUAGUUGGUAAGGUAAUGGCUUACCAAGGCGACGAUACGUAGCCGACCUGAGAGGGUGAUCGGCCACACUGGAACUGAGACACGGUCCAGACUCCUACGGGAGGCAGCAGUAGGGAAUCUUCCGCAAUGGGCGAAAGCCUGACGGAGCAACGCCGCGUGAGUGAUGAAGGGUUUCGGCUCGUAAAACUCUGUUAUUAGGGAAGAACAUAUGUGUAAGUAACUGUGCACAUCUG